rnacentral:rRNA from 1 species
AAAAGAACUUUGAAGAGAGAGUUCAAGAGGACGUGAAAUCACCUGGAUCGAAGCGGAUAGAGUUGACGAAAUCGGCGGCAUUCAGAUCGUGCGUUGCUGUCGAGGCGGCUGGCGUCUUUAAUGGCGUUGUAAGUCCGAUAGACGGUGGCGUUUCGAAUUGCACUUGUCGUCGGUAGACGCUGAGGAGGCCGAUUGCCCCUUCCGAAGCGCGUUGCGUGGCCCGACUUGCUCGGUGUCCUGCUGCGUGUUUAGGUUGAUGUGGCGGUUGGUCGCUAACGCGGGGUUCUGCCUUUGCGCGGGGUUCGGUUGCGUGUGCUGCGUGCGGCGUCGGAGGCGUGCCUCUUGGUGUCGUGCGUGGUGCUGUUGCCGUCUCCUGCUAGAGCUCCCUCUCGGUGUGAAAAGUCGACCACCUAUCCGACCCGUCUUGAAACACGGACCAAGAAGUCUAGUACGUGCGCGAGUCAUUGAGUGGAAAACUUAUAUGGCGCAAUGAAAGUAAAGGGUAGCGUUGGUUGCCUGAUAUGUGAUCCGUGGGCUUGCUCGCGGCGCAACAUAGCCCCAUGCUAAUCGCUUGCGAUGGUGUGGAGGUAGAGCGUACGUACUGGGACCCGAAAGAUGGUGAACUAUGCUUGAGCAGGGCGAAGUCAGAGGAAACUCUGAUGGAGGCCCGCAGCGGUUCUGACGUGCAAAUCGAUCGUCGGACUUGAGUAUAGGGGCGAAAGACUAAUCGAACCAUC